UUUCCAAGUUUUGAGUUUAUCUUAAACACUUGUUACAUGGCACCUGAUACUUUAUUACAUUUCUAGUGGCGGACGGUGAGUAACACGUUGGAACCUGCCCCAAAGUGAGGAAUAAGCCACCGAAAGGUGGUCUAAUACUUCAUAAUAUCCAUCUCGUAUGGAUUAAAGCUUUAUGCGCUUUGGGAGGGGCCUGCGUAACAUUAGCUUGUUGGUGAGGUAAAAGCUCACCAAGGCUUCGAUGUUUAACUGGUUUGAGAGGAUGACCAGUCACACUGGGACUGAGAUACGGCCCAGACUCCUACGGGAGGCAGCAGUAAGGAAUCUUCCACAAUGGGGCAACCCUGAUGGAGCAAUACCGCGUGCAGGAUGAAGCGUUUCGGCGUGUAAACUGCUUUUAUCACCGAAGAUUAUGACUGUAGGUGAAGAAUAAGGACCGGCUAACUACGUG
rnacentral:rRNA from 1 species